rnacentral:rRNA from 1 species
AUGCUUCUCCUAAAGACUAAGCCAUGCAUGCCUUCGAAUAAGAAGAAGCAAUUCUCCUGAAUCUGCGAACGGCUCCGCAAACCAGUUGUAAACUAUAGCAAGCACUCCUUUCGCCUUCGGGCGUUGGGAUAUAGGGAUAACCCUGGUAAUUCUGAGGCUAAUACUAGAUCGUAACACUAGGCCGACCGGGCAACUGGGAGGCUUAUGAACGUGUGUUGAGGCGCAAAGGAUCCAGGAAUGGACGCACGUUAAGACCACCACACCAAACAGUCGAGGCUUCGGCCGAGUCUGGGUGGCUCUUGCUGUGUGCUUCUGACCUAUCAACUAGAUGGCAGCGUAAGGGACAUGCUAUGGUUACAACGGGUACAGAGGAUAAGGGUUCGAUCCUGGAGAGUGGGCCUGAGAGAUUGCUCACACUUCUAAGGAAGGCAGCAGGCGCGCAACGUUCCCAUUGGGCAAUGCCCGAGG